GCAACAGGUGUGGGGGAUUUACUCAGAGUUUGCGUGAGGCCUCAUCAACAGUGGAGAGGAUAAAAAGCAGGAGAGAGAGGUGGUGCGUGUGGUUUUUCUCCCUUGUGAAAAGUCGUUUAAUUGGGUGGUAAUAGUUACUGGAGGACGGGUGAAUGAAGAGGACAGUGUUGCUUGAUGAGGGAUUCGAGAACAACAGCAGGAGAGUGAAUUACCCUGUUUGCAUUGGAGAGGAGCUGAGUAACUGAGAACUGAGUCUUGUAAUUGCACACGUUUGACACUGAAUUGGAUGUGGUUUGGAGUGUUUGGAUCACGAUCAUAAAUAUCACUGAGUGGAUUGUAUUGAUUCAUUACCGAUCUCUUACCUCUCCCUCCUCUAUAAAUGGUGAUGUGAACUCUGCCUGUGACUGUGAAGAAAAACAUCUCAGAACAUCCUCAGUGGCAGUGAGGAUUGCGCCCUCCCCCUUCCCCUCGGACAGAAACCCGAGUGUGAGUGCUGGCUUUAAAUUGCACGUCGUGAAGAGAAGAGAUGCCCUGUUGAAAUAUUUACUAUCUGCCUCAGAAAAGCUCUGUGCAACCUGUUGACUUCGAGUCUGCUGUAUCCCUGCCAUUCAACUGUAUGGUGAGAGGUGUUCGCUCCUUCCAAUACAUGUGAAUUGUAUACUUGCCUGAAACAUCCAUUCUGUCUGUCUCAGAAGAAGCCCCAUUCAGCCUGUUGACUUCGAGUCUGCUGUAUCCCUGCCAUUCAACUGUAUGGUGAGAAGUGUUCGCUCCUUCCAAUACAUGUGAACUGUAUACUUGCCUGAAACAUCCAUUCUGUCUGUCUCAGAAGAAGCCCAUUCAGCCUGUUGACUUCGAGUCUGCUGUAUCCCUGCCAUUCAACUGUAUGGUGAGAAGUGUUCGUUCCUUCCACUGCAUGUGAACUGUAUACUUGCCUGAAACAUCCAUUCUGUCUGUCUCAGAAGAAGCCCCAUUCAGCCUGUUGACUUCGAGUCUGCUGUAUCCCUGCUAUUCGUCUGUAUUGUGAGAAGUGUUCGUUCUUCCAAUGCAUGUGAACUGUAUACUUGCCUGAAACAUCCAUUCUGUCUGUCUCAGAAGAAGCCCCAUUCAGCCUGUUGACUUCGAGUCUGCUGUAUCCCUGCCAUUCAACUGUAUGGUGAGAAGUGUUCGCUCCUUCCAAUGCAUGUGAACUGCCUAUACUGCUGGAAGCAUUCUGUCUGUUCAGAAGAAGCCCCAUUCAGCCUGUUGACUUUGUCUGCUGUAUCCCUGCUACUCAUCUGUAUGAGGAAGCCCCAUUCAGCCUGUUGACUUCGAGUCUGCUGUAUCCCUGCUAUUCAUCCGUAUUGUGAGAAGUGUUCGUUCCUUCCAACGCAUGUGAACUGUAUACUUUGUCUGAAGCAUCCAUUCUGUCUGUUUCAGUAGAAACCCUGCACAGCCUGUUGACUUAGAGUUUGUUGCAUCCUUGUGGCCCACCUGUGCUGAGAGAGGUGACUGUCCUUUGUCACGAACGUGAGAUGGGCACGCUUUGUCUGGAAUAUCCACUCUGACGGUGUCAGGAGAAGCCACCUUACUGUAAGACCGUGCACCUGCCGUAUACGUACUUGACUGAUAUCAUUCGCCUCAAAUUCCGUACCUGGGGAAGAAGGA
ensembl:lncRNA